UACGGGGGGGGCAAGCGUUGUUCGGAAUUACUGGGCGUAAAGGGCUCGUAGGCGGCCAACUAAGUCAGACGUGAAAUCCCCUCGGCUUAACCGGGGAACUGCAUCUGAUACUGGAUGGCUUGAGUUUGGGAGAGGGAUGGCGGAAUUCCAGGUGUAGCGGUGAAAUGGCGUAGAUAGUCUGGAGGAACACCGGUGGCGAAGGCGGCAUCCCUGGACCAACACUGACGCUGAGGAGCGAAAGCCAGGGGAGCAAAGCGG
rnacentral:rRNA from 1 species